GAUGCAUCAGAGUACAGUCAGCUCAUCUCUGCAGGGCCGUUGCUGCCGCUGCUAGAACAGUAUGCAGGCGUAGGUUCUUAUGACCAGAACACUCUUAGGGGGGCCCCGUGGCAAGUGCAGUCACAAGGCGCUAACGCUGACAAAUGUACGGGCAGCCAACUCCAACUAGCUAGUAUGGCUAAUCAAGAGCCUUCGUGCAGCACGUGGAAUCGGGCAGCACCCAU